UACGGGGGGAGCAAGCGUUGUUCGGAUUUACUGGGCGUAAAGGGCGCGUAGGCGGCGUGACAAGUCACUUGUGAAAUCUCCGGGCUUAACUCGGAACGGUCAAGUGAUACUGUCGGACUAGAGUACAGAAGGGGCAACUGGAAUUCUCGGUGUAGCGGUGAAAUGCGUAGAUAUCGAGAGGAACACCUGCGGCGAAGGCGGGUUGCUGGGCUGAUACUGACGCUGAGGCGACGAAAGCCAGGGGAGCGAACGGG
rnacentral:rRNA from 1 species